rnacentral:rRNA from 1 species
UACGUAGGGUGCGAGCGUUGUCCGGAAUUAUUGGGCGUAAAGAGCUCGUAGGCGGCUUGUCGCGUCGGAUGUGAAAGCCCGGGGCUUAACUCCGGGUCUGCAUUCGAUACGGGCAGGCUAGAGUUCGGUAGGGGAGAUCGGAAUUCCUGGUGUAGCGGUGAAAUGCGCAGAUAUCAGGAGGAACACCGGUGGCGAAGGCGGAUCUCUGGGCCGAUACUGACGCUGAGGAGCGAAAGCGUGGGAGCGAACAGG